ACUUGCAAUAUGUCCUUGGAAGGGACAUUGAUUGGAUAGGUAUAGUCAAGUUAAAUGAGAUGCAUUAUUGAGUUAUAGAGAUGCAUUAUGAAUAUACUUUGUCCAACAAGAGGUCUCAAUGUCAACAAUUCAUCAGAGAAUAUCAUAUCCAAGAUAUCAUUUAAAGCAGCUUGUUCUUAUUUUACAUCUUGUGCCUUCCUCAUAUAAAGUAAGUGGCAGAGCAUUUAAUAGCUAGCAAUUUUGGUCAUGAUAAGAUGAAAAAUAACAGUAAAAUUAGAAAGCUCGUAUCUAGUAUCUAGUGCCGAUAAUAGUAUCCAUUAAAAAGAAAA